rnacentral:misc_RNA from 1 species
UUUCCGUAGGUGAACCUGCGGAAGGAUCAUUAAUAAAUCUCGUCAGUGGCCUCAGCCAUGUGACAGCACUUUUUGUCUGCAAAGGCAUGAUGUGUUCACCCUCUGUGAAACUUCUCAUUUUUGCUUCGGCAGCACUCCCAGUGGGCUUUUUCUGCUGGUGGGGUAAGGCUGUCAGAAGACCACUUUAAAACUAGUUUGAUGAAAUGUCAUGCAGUCUGAUAACUACUAUUUGAGAAAUCAAAUUACAUUAAAACUUUCAGCAACGGAUCUCUUGGUUCUCGCAUCGAUGAAGAACGCAGC